GUUCACAGUGAGCCGCCGAGGAAGAUGAGUGCAGCCAUUUCUCAGUUCUGUGAAGGCUCCGAUAGAUUUGAAGCUAAAGGCAGCUCCAUUGUGGUGCAUUCAUCUCUCAAAGAAGAGCAUGUGUAAUAUUCAAGGGAAACCACCUGGGCAAAUGGAGACAGAAGGAUCAUUUGCCACAGGGUCAGCAGAAACCCACAUAACUAGAAAAAACUCCUCAAGAAAGCAGUGAAAGAUACAGAGGAGAUACUUGUGUAAGGAAAAGAACCCCUGCUAAGUGCUUGCUGGCUCAACGGAGAAACAUAUACCCAACCAUGGAAAUCCCCAGUGCAGAAGAUGAGCAUGCCGGACAAAUGGUGGUGAGGAUGAGGAUGUAGGGGAUGAUGAUGCAUGGGGACCCACCUGGAGGAGGAUUGGUGCGCCGUUCAUUAACUCUCAGUGUGCCGUUGUGAGUGGUGGUGUCGUCUUCGUCGCUGGAGUGGGAGGAGGCCAAGUCAAGGGAGCGGUGGUCCAGGCUCAGCUCACUUUCACUUUCACUCUCCUUACGUCUCAUGGCCCGGACACCUGCGGCUGAGGAAAUUUGACAUCAGAGGCUUAGUAUGAGACUGGGAAUUGAGAUCAGUGUUGGAGUUAUAGUUACUUGGAGUGCUGGAAGAGGCUCCCACCCCCCUGGGCCCUGCUGCUGCACGUUCUCCCCUGCUGUAUGGCGAACUAGAGGUCUUGCAAGUGGAGCGGGAGGUGGUGCUGGCCGUGGAGAUGCCAAUGUUGCGGCGCAGGAUGUUGAAGUCAUCGUUGUACGUUAGUGCUGACCUCUGUGUAGGAGUAAGGGCACGGAACAUGAAGUAGAGGGAAUCCCGCACUCUGCUAUUGAGGAGGCAGUAACCCACCAAGAUGAACACUGCCGUCAGGAGGGAGAACACCGAAAAGAAGUAGUGGAGGAUCUCCAGAUUUUCUGAGACGGAGAGGACAGCGAGAAC